rnacentral:rRNA from 1 species
GUGGGGAAUUUUGGACAAUGGGCGCAAGCCUGAUCCAGCAAUGCCGCGUGCAGGAAGAAGGCCUUCGGGUUGUAAACUGCUUUUGUACGGAACGAAACGGUCCUGGUUAAUACCUGGGGCUAAUGACGGUACCGUAAGAAUAAGCACCGGCUAACUACGUGCCAGCAGCCGCGGUAAUACGUAGGGUGCGAGCGUUAAUCGGAAUUACUGGGCGUAAAGCGUGCGCAGGCGGUGCUGUAAGACAGGCGUGAAAUCCCCGGGCUCAACCUGGGAAUUGCGCUUGGGACUGCAGUGCUGGAGUACGGCAGAGGGGGAUGGAAUUCCGCGUGUAGCAGUGAAAUGCGUAGAUAUGCGGAGGAACACCGAUGGCGAAGGCAGUCCCCUGGGCCUGUACUGACGCUCAUGCACGAAAGCGUGGGGAGCAAACAGGAUUAGAAACCCUGGUAGUCC